GAGCAAAACAGCAGUGGACUCCCUUCCAUGGUUUACAAAUUUAUCUAUAGGAUGGGUUUCCUUGGUGGCUCGGUGGUAAAGAAUCCGCCUGCCAAUGCAGGAGAUGCAAGUUUAAUCCCUGGGUUGGGAAGAUCCCCUGGAGAAAGAAAUGGCAACCCACUCCAGUACUCUUGCCUGGAGAACCCCAUGGACAGAGGAGCCUGGACAGCCACAGUCCAUGGGGUCAUAAAGAGUUGGACAAGACUUAGUAACUAAACAACAACAAUAAUCUAUGAGACUCAUCUUCCCUACUCAGCAGAAGAGAGUGCAAAUGGCCAAAGACUGAGUGCUUAUGAUUUGGAAUAACCAAGCUUUGCCCAAAAUAGAUCAUCCAUGUGCUGAUGAGACUGACCUCGGGUGAAAGAACACUGCCCUCCCCCCAGGAACCCAGCCAGCUCCAGCCCCAGCUAUUUCCUGGUAUUUGAUGCUUCUCUGGAGGAAACAGUAAGGACUCCAGCCUUUGUCCUCAAGACUCAGAACAUUUCUUCUCAGUCCAAAGGACACAUUAUACCAUCUCUGGACUUAGAGAAGAAAAGAACAGUGGACACCAUGACCAUGGCUCAGAGCAAGCAAGUCCAAUGUACUAGUUUCUUAAUAAUUCUCAGAUUUUCAUCUUGGAUUGCUUCCUACUACCAUCUUGGAGCCCAAGAAGGGGUCCUGGGCAGGACAGGAAUUCAGGCAUUUUUGAUUAGCAAGGAGCCCAGGACCAAGAUGGGAACUAAAAGACAUGCAAACAUGUCUAAGAACUAAUCCCCAUCCUCACCAAACCCACCACCCAGAGGGGAGUAUGACCCAAAACCAGACAUUGGGGUGCAGGCUCCAAUGAGGCUGACAGAGUCACACACAAGAGGAGUCACCUCUCCUGACAUUUUCAGGAGCUGCAUCUUCAGCAUUUCCAGGUAUUGAAGUCAUUCCUUCCUGUCCCUCAUUCCUACCUGGGCAGCCAGAUACCUCUCCACUUUAGUCCUAAAUCAUAUUAGUCUUCUGGUAUCUCUUCAUUUUUUUUUUUUUAACAUUUAUUUGUUUGUUUAUUUGACUGUACCAUAUCUUAGUUGUAACAUGCAGGAUCUUCAGUCUUCAUUGUAGUAUGUGGGAUCUAGUUCCCUGAGCAGGGAUCGGAACCUGGGCCCCCUGCAUUGGGAGUGUGGAGUCUUAGCCGCUGGACCACCAGGGAAGUCCCCUGGGACCUGUUCUAACUUUUCUUCCUUUCUUUGAGGAAUUUGACUGGCCUCCCUUGUACCCAAAUCAAAUAAAACCCCUCUUUCCCAAGGAUAUGCCUCUUGCUUCUUUCUCUGUUCAAGCAGGUUAUCAGCUUUAAACAUUAGCUGAAGAAUCAGGACUUCUGGAACAAGGUUUGUCAGAACCAGAGUUUUUCUAGUUGUAAUAAAUAAGAAUCCAUUCAAACCCA
ensembl:lncRNA